CCGAAUCCGCCAUUGCUUAAAAGCAAUGGCGGAAUGUAAAACAUUGUGCCGGGCGCUCACCUACCCAACAAAAAUGCUCAAACAUGGAUGGAAAUCGUAUCGAGUUGCUGCAGUUCUGAAGAGCAUGCGUGGAGGCUUUGAGCUAGCUCACUGGGGAAUGGAAAACUUAGUGCCCUGAGCUUCCUCGAUCGCUGCUCAGCAAGGAUAUAAAUAAUCUGUUUUAACUCCGAACCUAUCAGAAUAUAUUGGAACUCACAGAAUAUUCGUCCUACACCCUUAGUGCUUUACAAGUGAACAACAGAUAUUUGAAGAAGGAAUUUCGACAUGACAACAGCAAUCCUCACCGUCUUGGGCUUGCUGUUAUUCUCGUCCUUGAAUCUGGAGGUGAAAGGAUAUUGUGAAACGAAUGGCUGUAGCAUCCCUGGAAACGUGCCGUUUCCUUACAAAAGAUACUUCAACCGCGCUUGCAACAAACAUGAUAUCUGCUACGCUUGUGGUCAACUCAACGGUUGGACUCGUUUGCAGUGUGACAAUGCUUUCUUUUGGGAUAUGUCCAAGCUAUGUUUAAAAAGGUUUUUCUUUCUCAAGCACUGCGUCAAGUAUGCAGGGAUAUACUAUGGGGCGGUCAGGCUCGGUGGCGAAAAACACUACGAGGAUCCAUCAAAGUACUGGUGCAGCACGUGCCCCAGCUCCAAAGGAGAUCCUUCCCUUCGAGUUAACCGCCGCUAGUAUUUAAGAAUAAGAGCAUGUCAGGUGCAAAACAUUUAAUGCAGAGAAAGGCGUUUUUUUUUUUAAAUAAAAAGUGCAUUGUAAUCUUGACGAGAUAAAAUAAAGAGCUUUAGUGACAAGAAUUGUAACAAGCGUCGUCUCUUGCUUACACGUAACUGAUCGCACUUUCCUCGUCUUGAAGAGACUGCUAUAUGUUAUUUGUUCGCCGGG